rnacentral:rRNA from 1 species
CACAAGCAGCGGAGCGUGUGGUUUAAUUCGAUGCUACACGAAGAACCUUACCAGGGUUUGACAUGCAAGUGGUAGGAAACCGAAAGGCGACGACCUUCGGGGAGCUUGCACAGGUGCUGCAUGGCUGUCGUCAGCUCGUGUCGUGAGAUGUUCGGUUAAGUCCGCUAACGAGCGCAACCCUCGCUGUGUGUUACAAGUGUCACACGGUACUGCCGGUCUUAAAGCCGGAGGAAGGUGGGAUGACGUCAAGUCAGCAUGGCCUUUAUGUCCUGGGCUACACACACGCUACAAUGGCCAACACAAUAGGUUGCUAAGCCGCGAGGUGGAGCCAAUCCUCAAAGUUGGUCUCAGUUCAGAUUGCAGGCUGCAACCCGCCUGCAUGAAGAUGGAGUUGCUAGUAACCGCAGGUCAGCUAUACUGCGGUGAAUACGUUCCCGGGGCUU